AUGGCUGUGGGAUCCGUGGAGCCUCCAGGAUGUCUCGGGCGGAAUCCUGGGUCCACACAACAGCAGACCGAGCAGAGAUAUUCUAUUCUUCCUCCAGAGAGAACACAUGGAAAUUCAGUGACCCAGGAGCAAGGUCAAGUGACCCUUUCAGAAGAUGACUUUCUAUUUAUAAAUUGCACUUAUUCAACCACAGGGUACCCAACUCUUUACUGGUAUGUCCAAUAUCCUGGAGAAGGUCCACAGCUCCUUUUGAAAGUCACAACAGCCAACAAUAAGGGAAGCAGCCGAGGUUUUGAAGCUACAUAUGAUAAAGGAACCACGUCCUUCCACUUGCAGAAAGCCUCGGUGCAGGAGUCAGACUCGGCUGUGUACUACUGUGCUCUGGAUGACACAGUGGCAGAAACCACAGGGGGAGCUGAGCACAAACUCUGA